rnacentral:rRNA from 1 species
CCCUUAGAUGUUCUGGGCCGCACGCGCGUUACACUGAUGCAUUCAACGAGCUUAUAACCUUGGCCGAGAGGCCUGGGCAAUCUUGUUAACGUGCAUCGUGAUAGGGAUAGAUUAUUGAAAUUAUUAAUCUUGGACGAGGAAUUCCUAGUAAACGCAGAUCAUCAAUCUGCAUUGAUUACGUCCCUGCCCUUUGUACACACCGCCCGUCGCACCUACCGAUUGGAUGGUCCGGUGAAGCCUCGGGAUUGUGGUUCUUGCCGCUUUAUUGUGGCGUGACCGCGAGAACUUGUCUAAACCUUAUCAUCUAGAGGAAGGUGAAGUCGUAACA